rnacentral:rRNA from 1 species
GACGAACGCUGGCGGCGUGCUUAACACAUGCAAGUCGAGCGGAGCGGCGAACGGGUGAGUAACGCGUGAGUAACUGCCCCCCUCUCUGGGAUAACAGUUGGAAACGGCUGCUAAUACCGGAUAGUGGGGGAUGACUCGCGUCCUAUCAGCUUGUUGGUGGGGUAGUGGCCUACCAAGGCGACGAAGGGUAGCCGGCCUGAGAGGGCGACCGGCCAAAUUGGGCUGCGAGACGGCCCUAACUCCCACGGGAGGCAGCAGUGGGGAAUAUUGCACAAGGGGGGAAACCCUGAUGCAGCAACGCCGCGGGCGGGAUGAAGGCUUUCGGGUUGUAAACCUCUCCUUGCAAGGCUCUGGUAGGUGGAGAAGAAGCGCCGGCUAACUACGGGCCAGCAGCCGCGGUAAUUC